GACGAACGCUGGCGGCGUGCUUAACACAUGCAAGUCGAACGGGCCUUGUCCCCUUUUUUUUUGGGGGUGGGGUUAGUGGCGAACGGGUGAGUAACACGUGAGUAACCUGCCCCUCACUUCUGGAUAACCGCUUGAAAGGGUGGCUAAUACGGGGUGUUCUGGCCUGCUCGCAUGGGUGGGUUUGGAAAGAUUCGACCGGUUUUGGUUGUUUUGGUGGAGGAUGGGCUCGCGGCCUAUCAGCUUGUUGGUGGGGUGAUGGCCUGCCAAGGCUUUGACGGGUAGCCGGCCUGAGAGGGUGGGCGGUCACACUGGGACUGAGACACGGCCCAGACUCCUACGGGAGGCAGCAGUGGGGAAUAUUGCACAAUGGGCGCAAGCCUGAUGCAGCGACGCCGCGUGAGGGAUGGAGGCCUUCGGGUUGUGAACCUCUUUCGCCAGUGAAGAAGGUCCUGCUCUUUGUGGUGGGGUUGACGGUAGCGGGGUUAAUGAAGCGCCGGCUAACUACGUG
rnacentral:rRNA from 1 species